rnacentral:rRNA from 1 species
CCUACGGGCGGCAGCAGUGGGGAAUAUUGGACAAUGGGGGGAACCCUGAUCCAGCGACGCCGCGUGAGUGAAGAAGUAUUUCGGUAUGUAAAGCUCUAUCAGCAGGGAAGAAAAUGACGGUACCUGACUAAUAAUCCCCGGCUAACUACGUGCCAGCAGCCGCGGUAAUACGUAGGGGGCAAGCGUUAUCCGGAUUUACUGGGUGUAAAGGGAGCGUAGACGGCAGCACAAGUCUGGAGUGAAAUCCCUGGGCUUAACCCCGGAACUGCUUUGGAAACUGUGCGGCUGGAGUGCAGGAGGGGUAAGCGGAAUUCCUAGUGUAGCGGUGAAAUGCGUAGAUAUUAGGAGGAACACCGGUGGCGAAGGCGGCUUACUGGACUGUAACUGACGUUGAGGCUCGAAAGCGUGGGGAGCAAACAGGAGUAGAUACCCUGGUAGUC